rnacentral:rRNA from 1 species
AACGAACGCUGGCGGCAGGCUUAACACAUGCAAGUCGAGCGCCCCGCAAGGGGAGCGGCAGACGGGUGAGUAACGCGUGGGAAUCUACCCAUCCCUACGGAACAACUCCGGGGAAACUGGAGCUAAUACCGUAUACGCCCUUCGGGGGAAAGAUUUAUCGGGGAUGGAUGAGCCCGCGUUGGAUUAGCCAGUUGGUGGGGUAAUGGCCUACCAAGGCGACGAUCCAUAGCUGGUCUGAGAGGAUGAUCAGCCACAUUGGGACUGAGACACGGCCCAAACUCCUACGGGAGGCAGCAGUGGGGAAUAUUGGACAAUGGGCGAAAGCCUGAUCCAGCCAUGCCGCGUGAGUGAUGAAGGCCCUAGGGUUGUAAAGCUCUUUCACCGAUGAAGAUAAUGACGGUAGUCGGAGAAGAAGCCCCGGCUAACUUCGUGCCAGCCGCCGCGGUAAUAC